UACGUAGGCAGCGAGCGUUGUUCGGAAUUACUGGGCGUAAAGAGUGUGUAGGCGGUGCUCUAAGUUCGGUGUGAAAUCUCCUGGCUUAACUGGGAGGGUGCGCCGGAAACUGGGGUGCUCGAGCGUGGGAGAGGAAAGCGGAAUUCCUGGUGUAGCGGUGAAAUGCGUAGAUAUCAGGAGGAACACCUGUGGUGUAGACAGCUUUCUGGACCAUUGCUGACGCUGAGACACGAAAGCGUGGGUAGCAAGCAGG
rnacentral:rRNA from 1 species